rnacentral:rRNA from 1 species
AACGAACGCUGGCGGCGUGCCUAACACAUGCAAGUCGAACGGGAAAACCCGCAAGGGUGAGUACAGUGGCGCACGGGUGCGUAACACGUGGGUAAUCUGCCCAGAAGCCCGGAAUAACUCCCCGAAAGGGGUGCUAAUGCCGGAUGAGACCACGGGGACCUCGGUUCCCGGGGGAAACGGUGGCCUCUGUAUCCAAGCGAUCACUUAUUGAUGUGUCCGUGGCCCAUCAGCUAGUUGGCGGGGUAAUGGCCACCAAGGCUACGACGGGUAGCUAGUCUGAGAGGACGAUCAGCCACACUGGAACUGAGACACGGUCCAGACUCCUACGGGAGGCAGCAGUGGGGAAUCUUGCGCAAUGGGCGAAUGCCUGACGCAGCAACGCCGCGAGUGUGAUGAAGGUCUUCGGAUCGUAAAGCACUGUCGGGAGGGACGAAUAAGGGCCGGGUGAACAAUCCGGUUCGACGACGGUACCUCCAGAGGAAGCACCGGCUAACUCUGUGCCAGCAGCCGCCGUAAAAC